CCUGCGUCCCCUGCCUGCUUGCAUCCUGGCGCCCUGGCCUUUUCAGACUUUCUAUGAAGGGGCCUGUCCGUCUCUGGGUGGUGGGUGCUGUGAAGGGAGAGGGCAGAAGCCGUGAGAGGUGCGCAGAGAUGCGCGGAGGCCCUCAGGCGUACUUGUUCCUCCUGCCUCUGGCUCGCUGACCUCUGGUGGGCUCAGGCGCGAGAGAGGCUGGCAGGCCGGGUUCAAUCCCUUGUCUUCUGCGCUGCGUCAAGGGCAACUCUCUGCCGCUGCCCUCAGGAGUGGGCACUGCAGACUCAGUGCGUUUUAGGCCCCCUCCCUGCAGCCACCCCAAAAUCUCGUGCAAAGAAGGCACAACGAUAGCACUACACAGCAGCAGACACUCACUGUCUCUGUCACCCUACCCUCACUGAAGUCUGUCUGCCCCUCUGCCUCUUACCACUCCCCUCCAACCCAGCGCGACUUAAUCCAAUAUUUUGUGUCAGCGUUUGCUCCUGUGGCCCAGUAUGCCUUCUUCAAAGAGGCCGCUGACCUCCUCUAGCCCCUGUCUAAUCCCAGGGUAUGGGCCUCUCCACUCUGCCUUAAUCCAUGAAGGUGAUACUUUGCCUUCUCCUGCACUUUUCAGAGCCACUUCCCUCCCAAGGGCCAGAGAUGAGGCUGUGAACUGGGAAAGCGUAGGGCGCCAGCUCCUCUGGGGGAGCGCCUCCCUCGUGACCCUGCAAACUGAAGUAAUCUUGUCUUUAAAAAAAAAAAAUCAGUUUGUAAAUUACAUGAUAGCUUUUGAAUUAAUUUUUGUCUGGUAAAUUAUAUGGCCCCCUCCUCUGUUGUAGAUGUUUGUAUUUAUUGAUAAGAUUUCACGGUGGGAAAAGUCUUUAUUUUGUACAUAAGAUUAUUUAGGGACUGGUGAAUGAGUUUUGAGCCAAUAAAAUAAAGACCCUUCAGAAGCCUGAUUGUGCAGAGGGCAGGGCUGAGCCUCUGCGGCUGGGGUUGGGGGAGGGGGGUUCUGCAGGGAUGAGACUCUUUCUGGGGGUCUCAGGGGGGCCCCUCAGGAGGCCUGGUCUGAGAAGUUGUAGUGCUAGGCUGGAGGUCAGGAAGACUGCAUUCUCAGAGCAAGUCAGCUAUACACACUUGGAAAAUAAGAGCUGGAAGGCUCUUAAAAAUCAGUGGCUCACCCCCUUGUUUUAUUUAUGGGGCAGCAACUUGUCUUUUUCCAAACCACAGUUUAGGAGACAGACAAGCCUCCAAACUAGGGCUACUCUGUGGGGCUGCCGGCCCUUUCCCCUAAGCCACUAGCCCGGAUUUAGAGCUAGUGUUGCAUUUGGAGAAAGCGGUAAUAAGCCUGCAGCAAGGUCAGAGCCCUCAGAAACACCACCAGUGGCCUGGGCAGUCUAGGAAUUUUCCCAAAGUGCUUAUUAGAGCUCACUUUAUACUGCUGGUGCUGGGGCUGCAGCACUGCAUGACUUGUGGAGCUGAGCAGCAGGGAGCAAAGAACAAGGAGGGUCCAGCUGCACACCUACUGACACCCAGCAGCCUUGACUGAAGAAACUAUUGUUCUUAUUAAGAAACUAUUCAAGGUUUCCAGCCAUGUGGUCUCUCUUACACCCACGGGGUGGAAUAGGGCUGAGGCAUAGUGACACUAAAACAUCCCCCAAAGUAUGGCUGGAGCACCCCUAAAUGGUUUCCGAGACCCCCAGGACCUCAAAGAAGUGAGUUUGAGUUCUAAGAACCCAGAGUCCACCUGAUUCUCGGGAACAGGAAAAUGGAGGGAGGACACACUACCCACACGUGGAACCCCAGGGGCCUCCUUGGAUUGGCCCAAGAUGCUCAGAAAGAAGCAUGCCAACCCCAGUGGGGGAUGUGUGGCACAGUCAGGGGUUGGGAAUGGGGUGGUAGGUCACUUUUCAGUGCAUUCGAGUGCAAAGUGGUGGCUUUGCAGGGGUUAACACUCUCACUUCUGUCUCCCUCCCCACUUCAAAUUGAACUUUUCCUCUCUCCUCUAUUCCUAGGUCCCUAAAGGUAGCCUGGAGGAGAUC
rnacentral:lncRNA from 1 species